GAAAGGCAGAGAAAAGGACAGCGGUGCAAGAACAGAUAUAUUUCAAACAGACAUCCCUUCCACGAUACACGAUGCCCUUUCCACAGGCAGAGGGAUGAGGUUUCCAGAACCCACAGAUAAACAGACAGCGAGGGCCUACAACAUCCAUAACAUAUGGGGGGCGAUGAAGGAAGUCUGGAGGAAGCACAGGCGAGAUCCCGCUCAAAGAGAACACGCAGGCUGGUACCCCUGGGGAAGUGGAGGAGGCAGGUUUGCCCAAUGGACACUUUUACACAGUUGUUGAAAUAAAAAUCUUGUCUUGCUUCUGCUGCAUUUUAUAACAUCUGGACUCCGUACAGGCAAUGGAGCACAUAUUGGUUCUGUUCUAUGCUCUCUGCCCUGGAGAGACAACAAGUACUGCUGGUCAAAAAGCUCUUAUUUUGUGAGUCUACCGAAGAGGGAAUGCAAGUGGAAAACAAGUGGAAGAAAAUCAUCAGUACCGCUCAAAAACAUUCCUUCCCUAUUGCAAUACUUGGACUUGAAUGCUCUUAUUAAAAUCACCAUAUCAACUGUAAAGUUUUGUACAAAAUUUGUACAGAAUCCCAGGAAAAAGGAAAUCCCAUGAAAACAUACCAUUCUAGACCCAGAUGGACUUCCACGCUUGACAAGGAGAAUUUUGCCACCGGUUCAAUUGAGAACACUUGGGGUAAACCUUCUGCAGUCACUAAUUCUUCUUCUCUUCUAGUGUUCAUUCAUAUGAUAGCAAAACAAUGCUAAAACGGAACAGAAGAAGUACUUAGAGCUCUUUGAGAAAACACAGGGCAGGUCCUGAGGUAAUUAAAUUAGCCCAGUUCCAUUGUUUCUGGUGAUAUAUACUGUAUUCACUGAAGCUAUACCAAUUUUUCCUAUUCAAGGCUCAGGCUGACAGUGUUUGAGCACAUCGUUGUUCCAUAGGAUGCUGCUCUAUCUGUACAUCUGGGUGGGAUAGAAAUCAGAGACCAAAUGCAGUCCUUGGACGACACUUCAGAAGUAUUACAGAAGAUUGUCUGCAUUUUGUAUGAAAAAAUGUAAAUUAUUUUCAGAGUGAAUUCAGAUCGGGGACGGCCCCUUCGAGAAGCCUAGCCAUGAAAAUGAAAUGAAUUCAGUUCAUUUUUCACAACUUAAUUUUACAGAGAUGUGUAGCUGCAGCUGGACACUGCUUGUACUGGUUAAACUGUACAGUUGUGGCAAGGGUCCAGUCACUUGGAGGGCUUUGCAAGUGCAGCUGAUCAGUCUCCUCAGCCACACCUAAGUCAUACUGGCUUCCACCCACUUGCUUCACCUCACAGAUGAAAGGCAGAAACUUUUCACCUGGUCUGAUACCUCUCAUACAUACAAGUAUGCACAUGUGUUUAUAGGCUACAAAUAAUUUACAUAUUUUAAAACCAAACAAAAUGAAAGCAAACAUGCAAUAGGGAUGUAUGACAUGUGUAGCGUGUUGGAGGUAAAGCCCAGUUUCCAGAGGCUACUGACAAUUGCCUCAUGCCAUAGGGAAAGGCAUUACUUUCCUUAAUGCGUGGAGCCAAUUAUACCAGUGUCUUGACAGAGGGGAGGGGGAGAAAUCUUUUCACUGACCCUGACAGACAACAAGCUUGCACCCUGAAGCCUGAUGUCUGAUUAGUUUUUCAGGUUUUUUACUGACAGGCUGUUAAGUAAUAAAAUAGUUUUUCCUCAGACCAAUACUAUUUCGUUUAUCAAUAUGCCAUUUGAUGUAUUCCUCUUUGUUUACGACAUCAACUUAAAUACCUGUACCUUCCCUCCUGAAGAUGUGGAAUCGCAAAGCAACAAGCCCAGUUAGUGGCAGCUGAGUGUCAGUAAUACCUGCAGAGAUUAAGGGAAGAGAAUAUUUAUAAGCAACCUAAUAUUUUAGAGUACUUUUCAUAAAAAAUGGAAUCUAGCAAUUAGGUAAUAAUAUAAAAAGCACUAAAUAAUAUAGUAUUAAAAGGUCAUGUUUACAUAAUAGCCACACAGAGAAAAAAAAGUUAGGCAUUUGAUUUCACUCUGAACUUCAUGCCUUUGAUAAAUCUAAGAUUAUUGUUGUAUUAAAGCCAUUUUAUAUCCUCAGUGGGAGUUAAAGCACUCAGCACUUGCAGGACUGAAGUAAGGAUGGGAGCAGUAAUUUGACCACUCUCGAAUUGUACUGCCUAACAUCUGAGAAGGAUCAGAAAGACAAUCCUUAGCCCUGAGCAUUAUAUACAAAUGAAAUAGGGGUUAUCUGGGGGCAGCAUAAUUCAUUAAAUGUUCCUUCUAAAUGUAAAACACCAAAUUCCCUCGACACAGUCAGCCUUUCUAUCUGCCGUCUAGUUGUGACAUAAAAAACUGUAUUACAGUGAGAGUAAACUGAAAUUCAGAAAAGCCCAGAAGUUCACUGUUAAAGCUCUUUCUAUUUUCUCAUUACAUCUUGUAACAAACAGGCAGCAAAAACCUUAUAGGUAUCACAGUCCUUUGAAAAAGUGACUGAUUUUAGAAGAUGGGAUUGUCAGCUGUGUCAUUUAGGAAAUUUACAUUAACUGUAAUCUAAUUACCCUGUAGUUCUAUCAGCUAAGAAUCUGAUCCAGGAGCUGUAACAGUUAAAAAAGCAUCCAUAUAUAGCUUCAUCUUCCCCUUGAAUGUCUUUUACUUCAGGCCAGUGCUGGGAAAAAUUUCAGACAAAUACUCUGAUCAGAUUUUUAUGAAGAUUCAGUAGAAUUACAUUGGGACAGAAAAAAGUAUAUUUCAAGGAAGGUGAAAGGAAUCAGACCAAAUUUCUAAAAAAUCUCGUAAUUGUACUGUAAGAUGGGUUCAUCACUCCAUUACACAGACUGUGUUCUCUUAUCAUUGAUACAUUUAUCCUUACAUCAAGCUUCCUCAUGAAACAAGGAAGGGCUAGUUGUCCAGUCUCGUCAAACAGGACACAACAGGGUAAGUAAGUGACUUGUUUAAGGCUACACAGAGAAGAUGUAUCAGAAGAGCAUGAGUCUUUCUCAUGCUGGGCUCAUGCCCCAGUCCCUGGACCACUUCUGCCUGCCUAGUUCACCUUCUGUUAUUUAAUUAAUACAGGCUCUAUCGAUAAUCUUUAGAAAGGCAGUUACUUAUACUCCAGCUUAACCAAUGCAGAAAAGUGGAGACGUCUGUCUUGUGAGCUGACAAAUGGAGGGUGUUAUAUAAAGGCAACUGAUUUUACAUUUGCUGUUACCAUGCCAUUAACAGGCGACCAGUCCAAUGACCAGGGAGUUUUAAAGGUGCUCCCCUUGGCUUCAUCAGCACAGCCCAGCGCCCUGCUCAUGUUCUCAGUCACGCGAGACAGAGGCAGUCAAGUAGCAACACUGAUCCCCUUCCAUUGUACAGCCCCAGCUGUGCUCACAAAGAUGGGAUGAAGUCUCAGUGUCUGAAGGAAGGUACUGCUGACCCCUGUGCAUAUUCAGUUAUGAUGAGUGACACUUGUUUUCACUAUAAAUUGAUGACAAAUGUGAAGGAAAGUUAAAGAAGUCUUGGACAACAGCUUUGUAGGAAUUACCCUAAGUGAGACUAUAAAAAUAUUUGUGGAGAAAAGGGAAUGGAGAAGGAUUUAUGUUUCCUUUAUUUUUUUAUAAUUGUGUUUUAAAAUUUCCUCAUGGAAACUCUUCUGAUUCAUGUAUUUGAAAACUACACUUUCUGCCUGUUCAGCCUUUCCCACAGUAGGUCAGUCCUGAUUCACUGUCCACUGAAGCAGACAUUUGUAGUUCCUUGUGUUUGUGUUAAACUUUACCAAGAGAUUUUGAAACUGUAAUAUAAAUGCACAUCUAGGGUCCCUCUAAAACUCAAGAUUACAUUUAAACAGAUAUUUUUAAGUCCUUUAAGAUAGAUUAUAUACUAACCAUGACAUUAAAAGUGGUUACUAGAAAGAUUUGGUUCCUUUUCAAUCUAUCAGUGACUAUGCAGCAUUGCAAAGUGGCCAGUGGAAGAAAUAGGUGAAUCUGGCAACUUACUGGCUUUUUAUUGUCUUAAUGUAGUGAGAUAAAGAACAGGCAAAAUAUGCCUUUUUUUGAGCAAUUCCAUUUUUAUUCAAAAUCUAUGACGGCUUACCUUAAAAAUAUAUGAUGCUAUUGAGUUCAGCAAGCUGCAUGAUUUAUUAACCCUGGCUCACCAUUUCUCCCUGUCAGUUAUAUGUGAUCAGUUAUUGCAAGUGCCUAUCACUCAUUAUAUAUUUAUUUAUUGGAAUUUAGAGACAGUCUUUUAGAAGACUUUCAUACAUGGGUAUUAGGGCCCGAUACUCAAGAACUACUUUCAGCUAGCCAGUGAAACAUAUGUUAUAAUGAAUAGUAUCAGUUAAUAGAAAUCCUGUAGCCUCAUGCUUCCCGCUUACCUCAACUCUGAGAAUCUGGCCUGUUAUCACUGACCUUGUACCUGACCAUUUUUGGUGCAGUUUUGCUCUGGCACGGUGCACUGAUGCUGAGACAUUUUCCCAGAAAAAAACACAAAAUGUUGUACACCAUCUCAUGUCAGGUAUUCUGUACCUCAAAUUGGUGGAACAAAGCAUGUUAUUUCCACUUAGUGGGAAGAAACCAACAUUGUUAUUUCUACUGCUCUAGUGUCAGGGCUUUUUAUUUCCACUGCAAUGAUUGUACAGGCUCUCAUAACCAAUAAGCCAACAUCCAACCCUGCCAAAAAAAACAACAAAAAAACCCUUGGCUGGUCUGAAGCACAUUAGAGCAUGCAAAAGAAAACUGACUCCCGGCUGCAGCUAGAAUGGAAAUGUCUACUCUCUUGAUAGCAGUGGUGGAAUUUAACUAAAAAAAGGAUAUUUUUCUGACACAUGGGCAACCUCUGGAGUGUUUCCGGUUCUCCAUAUGAUGCAAGCAGAAAAAAACAAAACAACGAGCCAAGGGCACGUAUAGAUUCCUAACUUCAAAAAGGGGGAAGGAAACAUGCACUACUUGCUUAUGGUUGUGUAAAAUAAAUGCAGUUCAGGUUUAAAGAUUCUGAACACAAGCAGUCAGAUACAAAGGACCCAGACACACCAUAUCAGAUGAAAAAAAAAAGUCAUCUCUGUCUACAGCACCAUUUUUAGGAGAAUUUCCUCUGAAUAAUGGACACAGAAUCCCUUCUCAAAAUUCCUGCAAUGAGAAGCAGCUUGAGGGUGAAAUUGUCGCUUCCUGGAAACUUUGUCACAGAGUUGAUGUGAACUAGUUCACUGUGAACACUGGCUGUGCCCCAUUCCCAUCUAGCUCUUCUCACUUGUUAACCUGAACUGCCCUCAGUCCGCAGCCCUCUGAGUGACCUUUUCUUACAGCACAGCCUGGUGCUGUGACCUACUCCAGCUCCCAAUAACAGGCUUUCUGUUUCACAGCAUGUGAACCUGGGCCAGGAAAAGUUGGGUUAGAUUUUAUGGGGCUUGUGGACUACAGAGACAUUGCCCCCAAACACACAGGAAGUUGGAUUCUUGGGUUAGUGGAAAUCUACAUCACCUCAUGUAUGUAAUAUAGAACAAGAUGCAUUUGUUUUAGCUGAGUGUACAAUCUCUAUAUUUUGUGUUUACAUAGGAUUCAUUUGCUGUGGUGAGAAUAAAAUCUUGGUUUUAUUCCUCAUCAGUGGAAAAUAUAGGUCUCUACUGUCCAUGAAACUAAGAUUCACUCAUAUUUACAUGGCUUUAGUAACACCUGAUGUAUUUUUAAAUGAUAGAAACUUCAGGAGAGAAACUAAAAGAUGCUCUUUCGUGAAACUGAUGAUUCUGUUAUUUGCAAACAUAAUAAAUUAGCACCAAAUGUGUGCAGAAAUAUGAAAAUGAGUUCUUUGACAGAAAUUAUCACCUUUCACCUUGAA